UUAAACUCCUAAACCUCACUCUCCUUAACCAACAUGCCAUUGUUGACGCUUGCAGGGCUGGUCCUCUUGAGGAGUCGUAUCCCGAGUCUGAAGCCCUCCUGAGCUGAGCCCUGGUGAGCCUUGUAAUUGCCCUGUUUUUACAGCUCAUGUUUGCGGCGUCCCACAAAUUUGAUUGGUACACUCCCUCUACUUGCACUGUGCCCACCCUUAUAGUGUUUGAUGAAAAACAGUCGCUGCAUGCAGGCCUCUAGGUCCUCCUGGUCCAGGGAGUGAUCCAGAGUGGAGGGAAACUGACCCCUUCCUGAACCUUGCUGGGCUGGACAACAUCCCCUGUGGCACCGGAACACUCAGCCCCAGCCUGCUGGCUGGGUUCAGCCUCCAGCUCAGUGGAAGAUCUUUUUAGCCUGGCCUUUUCCUGUCAGGACUUCCUCCCUGGAAGACGCUAGUAUAGGUUGUGCUCAUCUGGAUGCUACAACAGGGCCUUUUUGUGAGGAGUCAUACCUCAAUGGCAGGAGACCCAUCCCAAAACACUUCACUGAGUCGAACGGCUGAAGUGACGCAAGCCCCGUAUUUGUAAUAUCAUUAGACAUAACUCUGAUGAAAUCUGUGAAUGUAUUGAAAUGUUUUCUGAAUUGUACAACUACCUUAAUUCUGCUGGACCUUGGUGUCUUGGCAUCAGAUAAUGGGGAUCCAUAAUAAAUACCAAUACAAACUCUAGUCA